GGCGGACAAUUUGGACAUGGAAGUCGCGAAAAGCUGAAAGAUUAUAUUAUAAUUGUGAACUAUCAUCAAUGUUUCUCGCUUACAGAAAAAUUUUGAAGAAAGAUCCAUAUCACAAUUCCUGUCUCCCAGUGCACAUUGCCUGUUUAGUUGAGCUUAAAAAAAACUAAUGCUCUGUUUUAUCUGGCACAUAGAUUGGUUGAUUUAUAUCCGGAAAUGGCGUUGGCAUGGUUUGCGGUUGGAUGCUAUUAUUACACCAUAGGUAAGUGAUUACUGU